UGACUGCUCUCUGUCAAGUUGUU
rnacentral:miRNA from 1 species